rnacentral:rRNA from 1 species
AACGAACGCUGGCGGCAGGCCUAACACAUGCAAGUCGAGCGGACCUUUCGGGGUCAUCUGCGGACGGGUGAGUAACGCGUGGGAAUAUGCCCUUCUCUACGGAAUAGUCCUGGGAAACUGGGGUCAUUCCGAAAACGCCCCUUAUGGGGCAUAAUUAUUUGGGAGAGAAUAGCCCGGGUUGGAAUAGGUAGUUGGUUGGGUAAAGGCCUAUCAAGCCGUAGAUUCAAUGCUGGGUUGGGUGCAUGCUCAGCCACACUGGGAGUGAGACACGGCCCAGACUCCUAGGGGAGGCAGCAGUGGGGAAUCUUAGACGAUGGGGGCAACCAUGAUCUAGCCAUGCCGCGUGAGUGAUGAAGGCCUUAGGGUUGUAAAGCUCUUUCAGCUGGGAAGAUAAUGACGGUACCAGCAGAAGAAGCCCCGGCUAACUCCGUG